AACGAACGCUGGCGGCAUGCCUAACACAUGCAAGUCGAACGAUGCUUUCGGGCAUAGUGGCGCACGGGUGCGUAACGCGUGGGAAUCUGCCCUUGGGUUCGGAAUAACAGUGAGAAAUUGCUGCUAAUACCGGAUGAUGUCUUCGGACCAAAGAUUUAUCGCCCAGGGAUGAGCCCGCGUAGGAUUAGCUAGUUGGUGGGGUAAUGGCCUACCAAGGCGACGAUCCUUAGCUGGUCUGAGAGGAUGAUCUGCCACACUGGGACUGAGACACGGCCCAGACUCCUACGGGAGGCAGCAGUGGGGAAUAUUGGACAAUGGGCGCAAGCCUGAUCCAGCAAUGCCGCGUGAGUGAUGAAGGCCUUAGGGUUGUAAAGCUCUUUUACCCGGGAUGAUAAUGACAGUACCGGGAGAAUAAGCUCCGGCUAACUCCGUG
rnacentral:rRNA from 1 species